CUUAACCCACUGAGCACAGCCAGGGAUCGAACCCAAAACCUCACGGUUCUUAGUUGGAUUCGUUAACCACAGAGCCACGACGGGAACUCCUCAUUUGUUUUUAAUUAAAGAAUUUCUAGCAACUCAUAGGUUCAUAGAGCUAUGUAAAUUACUAAAAGGAUGUGAAAUGUAUAAAGGGUCCAUGCUCUGUACAAAAUAGGUUGCAAAGCAUGUGAAAAGUGUAGUGGCCUUAUAGACUGGUAAAGGGUGUGUGGCAGCAUUUUUUGAGUAUUUAGCACAUGCGGUUUGGAACAUUAUGCUGGGACUUAAGAGAAGUUAGGAUCGAAGGAGAGAUUUGCAUUAAUAUACAUAAAGGUAAUCUUCGAAACCUUAGAAAUAAAUGAUACCUUUAAGGCAGUAUAUAGUCAAAAGAACAAGCAGCUGGGUAUAAACUUUGGAAAGCCCUCACUUUUAGGAUGGGUAGUGAAGAAGCUAGGAACAAUAACUGAAGGGGUCAGAGGGGUAUCAGGAUGUAUAGGCCUGCAGAGAAGAAUGGUCAAAGGCUGGGUAUCCAGGGCCAUGAACUACUGUCCAUUCAAGGGUGCCACUUUAUGCCAGGCUGAAUGAAACGUUCUUAACAGCAGGGGUCAUCCUUUACAUGCUUCCCUGAGGUCAAAGGAGUGUGGUUUCAGGGAACUAGAAGGGGUAGAAGCUGAGCAGCAAGGAAGGAGCAGGCAGACCACUGACUGGAAAAGCAAGGCAUCGCAUGGCAGAUGUCCAUCCAUGCCAUCAAGGCCUUUCUCCAAGAGGCGUGAAGCACUGAUGGCUGGGAAAACCAGUCUGUAGUUGGCAGAAAAAGUACUGGCAGUUUGAAAGAUACCAUGAGGGCAUUUGCUUUUUAGGCACAAUAAACUUAAUUUGUAAAUUAAAAUACUGUAUAUAAAAUAUUUAAAAAAGAUUAAAUAUGCCAUCUGAACCCAUGCUCUUUGAUGCUUCAUUCGUCGGGCAUGUGUAAAGCACACUAACCUUUAUUGAUACCAUGAAAACAGAAUGUACCUUGAAUCACUCACUCACUGUUGGUUGAAUAAGGAGAUAACAGACCUUGUGAUAUACUUAUGGCCACUGUUUAACCUCUGAGAUCCAUUUUAUUCUUUAAAAAAUGCGAAAGUGGUUAUUUUUUGAAAAAAAUUCCUGAAAGAGGAAUUUCUGGGUUAAAGAUGUACCCAAAAGCUCUCCCACUGGCUGUCCUUUGACAUAGGUUACAAAGCCAUGUGUCCAAUAUGUUUGCCUAGGAAAUUGGUGGAGGGGCCAUUAGGAAGCUCUUGGUAGCACUGUAAGGAGUCUUUUAAGUACAUUGAAGUGCUUUUGUUAAAGUGUAAAGCACUUUGAGGGUUGGGUGGGUUGCAGUAUACUUGUGUGUGGUUUCCAGAUAUGAAAAGCUGAUUGUUAACUAGUGAUAGUUUAUGAAUUAGAAUGGACUCAAGACUGUUCCCCAGCAGUUCCGUCAUGGCUCAGCAGUUAACGGAACCCGACUAGGACUAGUAUCCAUGAGGGCGCGAGUUUGAUCCCAGGCCUCACCCAGUGGGUUAAGGAUCCGUGUUACCAUGAGCUGUGGUGUAGGUCGCAGACACAGCCUGGAUCCUGAGUUGCUCUGGCUGUGGUGUAGGCUGGUGGCUACAACUCCAUUCGACCCCUAGCCUGGGAACCUCCCAAAAAGGAAAAAAAGACUGUUACCCAGAAGAGCAACACUUAGUUACCUUUUAAAGUGCUCUCUCCAGAGGGAAAGAAUUAAAGUCCACAGGUCAGGAACCAUAUGUGUGACCCUAGAUAUGCCUACCUGUGUGUCAGACAUGUGAAUGUCAAAUAGUGUGUGUCUCAUAGCAGGAAGAAAAUACAUUAGAUGUAGCAGAAAUAGCAUAGCCUUCUUUCUCAACCUACAGGUAAACCAGGAUUCAUACCUAUCACUGCCAUUUAGAAUCCGAGUGACUUUAAGUAGUAAACUUAAGUCACAUCUCUGCAUCUCAGUCCUUGUCUCUAAAGUGAGGAUAACCACCUACUUUACUGGCCCCUUAGGAGGGGCAAUGUUCCUCCAGGGAGAAGAAAAUUCCUGAUCAGCCUGCAGACUGGAAAGAUCUCUCCCAUUUCCCUGCACUGGACAGUCAGCACACAGGGACAGGAGUUCUUAGGAACAAAUGGUUUCCCUGUGAGAGGCCCAAAGUGUCCAAAAACAAAGCAAAACCCACAUUCCUUCAGAACAUGGUUGGCCAAAGUCUUGAAUAUCCCUGCCUGACAUAUGGAGAGAAAAUGGCUCCUCCCACUGCUGUACCCAUUCUCUAAAAGGUCUUCCCCCGAGAAGAUCUUCUUGGUAACAAUUAUGCAAAGGUGCGGUUAAGUGACCUCAUGGAAGAGAAACCUCAAACCUACAACAAUCUUGCCCCUUUAAGCCCCCAAAAUGCCCCUUGGAUGAGGAGUGAUCCCAUGAGUGUUGAAGGAAGCUUUGCCGUUACAGGACAAUCAAGGUCACUCCGAAGUUAAAUGAAGACAACAACAGCAGCUGCAGCCUUUGUUGAGGUCCAGAUUGCGAGCACGGCUGAGCGGGCCCCAGCCCUGCACUUCAUUACGUGUAAGCACCAUUAAUAACCAACAAUGGGUUCUCGAAUCAGCGGACAAGUGUUCCCCCCCCCCCUCCCCGGAGCUCGUGCCCCUGGUUAGGGCUUAAGUCUUUGUGCAUCUUCCUGGCUAACACAUACGUCCCCAGGGACUCGCUGCCUCAAAAUGAUAUUCCCAACAUAAGUGCCAGACAGGGGCCUAUCUGCCAAUCUUUUCUAUUUUAUGUCCCCAGGACUGUUCUUUCUCCACCAAACCUCCACAGCAUAGCAGCAGUUGUAGCCCACCCUAUCCAGCAUUGCUUUCUUGUAAAGUUGGGGGAUGGGAGGGUGUGUGUGUGGAGUUUUUCUAAAACAAGUCAUAUUUUACAUGCAUUAGGUAACCUUGAAAUUGUAUUAGUUCUCUAUGGCUACAUUAAAAAUUACCCCCAAAGCAUAGUGGAUAACACAAUCAUAAAUAUUUCUUACCCUU